rnacentral:rRNA from 1 species
CAGCCGCCGCGGUAAUACCGGCGUCCCGAGUGGCGGUCACUAUUAUUGGGCUUAAAGCGUCCGUAGCCGGGUUGGGAAGUCCUCCGGGAAAUCUGGCCGCUUAACGGUCAGAAUGCCGGAGGAUACUCCCAGCCUAGGGAGCGGGAGAGGCCGAGGGUAUUCCCGGAGUAGGGGUGAAAUCCUAUAAUCCCGGGAGGACCACCUGUGGCGAAGGCGCUCGGCUGGAACGCGUCCGACGGUGAGGGACGAAGGCCAGGGGAGCAAACCGGAUUAGAUACCCGGGUAGUCCUGGCGGUAAACGAUGCGGACGUUGUGUCGGACAAGCUAUGAGCUUGUCCGGUGCCGGAGGGAAACCGUUAAGUCCGCCGCCUGGGGAGUACGGCCGCAAGGCUGAAACUUAAAGGAAUUGGCGGG